rnacentral:rRNA from 1 species
GUGGGGAAUUUUGGACAAUGGGGGCAACCCUGAUCCAGCCAUGCCGCGUGCGGGAAGAAGGCCUUCGGGUUGUAAACCGCUUUUGUCAGGGAAGAAAUCCUUUGGGUUAAUACCUCGGAGGGAUGACGGUACCUGAAGAAUAAGCACCGGCUAACUACGUGCCAGCAGCCGCGGUAAUACGUAGGGUGCGAGCGUUAAUCGGAAUUACUGGGCGUAAAGCGUGCGCAGGCGGUUUUGUAAGAUCGAUGUGAAAUCCCCGGGCUCAACCUGGGAGCUGUAUUGGUGACUGCAAGGCUGGAGUGUGGCAGAGGGGGAUGGAAUUCCGCGUGUAGCAGUGAAAUGCGUAGAUAUGCGGAGGAACACCGAUGGCGAAGGCAAUCCCCUGGGCCUGCACUGACGCUCAUGCACGAAAGCGUGGGGAGCAAACAGGAUUAGAAACCCUGGUAGUCC